rnacentral:rRNA from 1 species
AACUUCUGAAUGUUGACCUCGGAUCAGGUAGGAAUACCCGCUGAACUUAAGCAUAUCAAUAAGCGGAGGAAAAGAAACCAACAGGGAUUGCCCUAGUAACGGCGAGUGAAGCGGCACCAGCUCAAAUUUGAAAUCUGGCUUUCGGGCCCGAGUUGUAAUUUGUAGAGGAUACUUUUGAUGCGGUGCCUUCCGAGUUCCCCUGGAACGGGACGCCAUAGAGGGUGAGAGCCCCGUCUGGUUGGAUGCCAAAUCUCUGUAAAGUUCCUUCGACGAGUCGAGUAGUUUGGGAAUGCUGCUCUAAAUGGGAGGUAUAUGUCUUCUAAAGCUAAAUAUUGGCCAGAGACCGAUAGCGCACAAGUAGAGUGAUCGAAAGAUGAAAAGCACUUUGAAAAGAGAGUUAAAAAGUACGUGAAAUUGUUGAAAGGGAAGCGUUUAUGACCAGACUUGGACUUGGUUAAUCAUCUGGGGUUCUCCCCAGUGCACUUUUCCAGUUCAGGCCAGCAUCAGUUUUCGCCGGGGGAUAAAGGCUUCGGGAAUGUAGCUCUCUUCGGGGAGUGUUAUAGCCCGUUGUGUAAUACCCUGGCGGAGACUGAGGUUCGCGCUUCUGCAAGGAUGCUGGCGUAAUGGUCAUCAACGACCCGUCUUGAAACACGGACCAAGG